CCAAGUAUACGGUGAGCCAAUCCAUAAAACUUAAUGUACAUCCUUCAAAAUAUCCCAAUUCAAGUGUGGGAUUCAACUCUUUUGGGGUGCAAUGCAAGAAAUCUUACAAGUAUGCCAAAAAAUCAGCUCUAUCUCAUCAUCAGGUGGGCCACACUAUAGAAGACAAUCGAUAAUCACCCAUAAACCUCAAAGUUCAAGUAGUGGCUCACGUGAUAGUUGGGUCAGCUUGAUUUUUCGGGCUUCCCAUGAAAUCACGGGUGGUUGAGUGGAGGUAUAAGUCACGAUGUGAAUUGGAGGUAUUUGAGUGGCUGUCGAUUGUUUUCUAUGAUGUGCCCUACCAUGUUGUGUUUAUGCAAUCCUAACCGCAAAUCAAGUGAUCCUCACCAUCUUUUAGUGGCCUGCUUAGGUUACCAUAAAAGGGAAGCUAAAUAAAUGGACGACUGAGCUGACUCAGCAGGUGGGCCACAGUAUUCAAAACAAAUGGAUAAUUAAGGAAACCUUGUGAAGAUUUUUAAGCCCUUGAUUUGUUUUGUACUUUUGAAAGUACCGAAAGCAUGCAGAUGGGUUGUAUCCAAAAACGGAACUGACCACACAAUCGAUCUUAGAUUCUUAAUAAUCUGAUUUCAUGCUUUGAAACUGGACCUUUGAAAAACGUAUUUCUAACCAUACAUUUGAUAGCCACCAAUGGGAUGGUUAGGAUCAUUUUUGCAGUCCCACUUUCGGACUAUGCUUCUUUCACAAUGGGCCCUAUGAUUUGGACGGCCCGGAUGGAUAAACGUACAUAUUGUACGGCAAUCCAAACAUCCUACAUCCAUAUAUACCAGCUAAUGCACAGGCCACCGCAUAUGCCAGCUUGGUGGACGAGUGCAAUAUCCAAGCCAUCCAUCUCAAUGGUACCACCAUGUAGAUUCUCUCUUAUUGAAUCAGGACGGUUCACUUGUCAUUUGGGCCACAACAAAUGUAUGGUUGCAAAAAAUCCGCUGAAGUUUAGUAACUUUUCGAUUUAUUUCUAAUAUCAUGGGUAGCUCACUUACUAAAUGGAUCAUCUUUAUCUUUUUGAGCAAGAACAUCUACGUUGUGAGGUCCACCUGAUGGAUGGCUUGAUAUGUCACUUAUCCAACCAUGCUGGCGUGUACACUGUCCAUCCGGUUUGUCAGCCUAUUUCAGGGCAUUGGCCCAAGAAUGCAGCGGAUGCAAAUCUCAGGUGGACCACACCACAGGAAACAGCGUAGCAAAUACAAAAUUCAGGUGGACCACAUGUAGGGCUGUACACGAACCGAGUUAACUCGGUUAGCUCGCUCGACUCGGAUCGAAAAAGCUUGAUUCGACUUAGUUAGAAACUGAGUUCAAGCUGAUUUUUUGAGCUCGAAAAAAUUUCGAACUUGGUUCGAGCUUACCCGAGCUCGACUCAACUCGGAUUGAACUCCAACUCGAAUCAAACCAGUUCAAUGACUUGGUUACUUUGAUAUUGAUGUUGCUCAUCAAGUGUUUAAUGAAAUGACUUAAUGGAUUGUCAGUUGGUGGCAA